rnacentral:lncRNA from 1 species
AAUCACUUCAAUUUAGCCUAAAAUACCUGCACUGAUACUUGAACACAGUCAUUGAUAUGACAUUUGGAUAUGGCUUUAUAAGAAGAAAUUCUUAGAUAUCUAGUGGGAUCCGAUGCUUACACAUGCAACCCCACCCGAACACAAACCCAUGUCAAUGCACAAAUGGAAACCUGGUCAGGAUAUGGUAGCAGCUUGUAUCUGUUGGGCAUUGUGGUGGGAUAGUAAUGCAAGAAGGUUCGGUAGUAAGAAGCAAAGAGGCCUGCAGCUAAUUAGAAGAGUAAUGAAGUGGUAAAGAGUGGUUUAGAGCUGCUUCAGCUCAUAAGCAACACAGUAUGUAGGACCUUUAAGAGACUGAGUUCGUUUUUAUAAUCGAUUUAGUUUUUUUAUGUUGGAUCGGUCCUGUAUUCCUUAUGGUUUCUGUUAGGAUGCAUUGCCAGGAGCUGUUGUUCAGGACCUGCGGUUGCCUCGGGCUGUGUUGUUUUUUAUUACUUUCAUUGUCUCAGUGAAAUUUUUUUAGGAUCCUUGAGCCUAACUUUUCCUCAAAAAACAAAAAACAGAACUCCAAAUAGGACUCGUUCCAAAAGGUUUUUCUUUUUGAUGUGGAGAUGCAUAAUAAAAUUCUAGGUGUUUCAAAAGGUUUUAGGAUCUCGGAGAAUCUGGAUGGCAAGUAAAACCUACCGCAAGGAGGCAAAACAUGAUCAAAUGGUGCUUAUUGCAAGGGGGUUCUUUGAUGCAAAUGAGUGAAGUAGCAUUGACAAGACUUAUGUCAUGUAGGCA